rnacentral:rRNA from 1 species
ACGGCUCAGUAACACGUAGCUAACCUACCCUCAGGACGUGGAUACCCCCGGGAAACUGGGGCUAAUCCGCGAUAGGUGUGGAGGCCUGGAAUGGUUCCACGCCCAAAGGCACAGCAAUCAUGUUUGUUGUGUGCCUGAGGAUGGGGCUGCGGCCGAUCAGGCAGUUGGCGAGGUAACGGCUCACCAAACCUUUGACCGGUACGGGCCAUGAAAGUGGUAGCCCGGAGAUGGGCACUGAGACAGGGGCCCAGGCCCUACGGGGCGCAGCAGGCGCGAAAACUCCACAAUGUACGGAAGUACGAUGGGGUUAUCUCGAGUGCAGUCCGAUAAGGGCUGCUUUUCCAUAGAGUAAUAUCCUGUGGGAAUAAGAGGGGGGCAAGACUGGUGUCAGCCGCCGCGGUAACACCAGCCCCUCGAGUGGUGGGGACUAUUAUUUGGUCUAAAGCGUCCGUAGCUGGCUGUAUCCGUCCCCCGUUAAAUCCAGCGUCCUAAGCGUUGGACUGCGGGUGAUACCAUACAGCUAGAGGGUGGGAUAGGUGAGCGGUAUUUCUGGGGUAGGGGCGAAAUCCUUUGAUCCCAGGAGGACCACCAGUGGCGAAGGCUGCUCACUAGAACACGCCUGACGGUCAGGGACGAAAGCUGGGGCAGCGAACCGGAUUAGAUACCCGGGUAGUCCCAGCUGUAAACGAUGCUAGCUAGGUGUUGGGUCGGCCACGCGCCGCCCCAGUGCCGCAGGGAAGCCGUUAAGCUAGCCACCUGGGGAGUACGGCCGCAAGGCUGAAACUUAAAGGAAUUGGCGGGGGAG